GAGUGGGAAGCUUCUGGGCCGCUUUAUCACAUUGUCAGUUCUAGAUCAUUUACCGCGGAUAUGAAUGCCACACGGUACGGUGCGGUUCCUUACAGUAACGUACGGUGCGGUACGGGUGCAAGGGUUUUAAAUAAAACCUGCAGUAUCACGUCGUAAAACACAGGAUUCCGGAAGUGGUCUCCCUGGUAGUAGUAGGCCUGAUGUGGUCUCUCUCGC
rnacentral:lncRNA from 1 species